rnacentral:rRNA from 1 species
CGUGAGGCGGAGCUAAUCCCUUAAAGCCAUUCUCAGUUCGGAUUGUAGGCUGAAACUCGCCUACAUGAAGCUGGAGUUACUAGUAAUCGCAGAUCAGAAUGCUGCGGUGAAUGCGUUCCCGGGUCUUGUACACACCGCCCGUCACACCACGGAAGUUGGGGGCGCCCGAAGCCACUUAGCUAACCCUUUUGGGAAGCGAGUGUCGAACGGUGAAAUCAAUAACUGGGGUGAAGUCGUAACAAGGUAUC